AGAACGAACGCUGGCGGCAUGCCUAACACAUGCAAGUCGAACGAGACCUUCGGGUCUAGUGGCGCACGGGUGCGUAACGCGUGGGAAUCUGCCCAAAGGUUCGGAAUAACAGUUAGAAAUGACUGCUAAUACCGGAUAAUGUCGCAAGACCAAAGAUUUAUUGCCUUUGGAUGAGCCCGCGUAGGAUUAGCUUGUUGGUGGGGUAAAAGCCUACCAAGGCGACGAUCCUUAGCUGGUCUGAGAGGAUGAUCAGCCACACUGGGACUGAGACACGGCCCAGACUCCUACGGGAGGCAGCAGUGGGGAAUAUGGACAAUGGGCGAAAGCCUGAUCCAGCAAUGCCGCGUGAGUGAUGAAGGCCUUAGGUUGUAAAGCUCUUUACCGGGAUGAUAAUGACAGUACCGGAGAAUAAGCUCCGGCUAACUCCGUGCCAGCAGCCGC
rnacentral:rRNA from 1 species